rnacentral:tRNA from 1 species
GCUGAUAUAGUUUAAUGGUAGAACUCUAGCUUCCCAAGCUGGCCACGCGGGUUCGAUUCCCGUUAUCAGCUCCA